GACGAACGCUGGCGGCGUGCCUAAUACAUGCAAGUUGAGCGAUGAAGAUUGGUGCUUGCACCAAUUUGCAGAGCAGCGAACGGGUGAGUAACGCGUGGGGAAUCUGCCUUUGAGCGGGGGACAACAUUUGGAAACGAAUGCUAAUACCGCAUAAUAACUUUAAACAUAAGUUUUAAGUUUGAAAGAUGCAAUUGCAUCACUCAAAGAUGAUCCCGCGUUGUAUUAGCUAGUUGGUGAGGUAAAGGCUCACCAAGGCGAUGAUACAUAGCCGACCUGAGAGGGUGAUCGGCCACAUUGGGACUGAGACACGGCCCAAACUCCUACGGGAGGCAGCAGUAGGGAAUCUUCGGCAAUGGACGAAAGUCUGACCGAGCAACGCCGCGUGAGUGAAGAAGGGUUUCGGAUCGUAAAACUCUGUUGGUAGAGAAGAACGUUGGUGAGAGUGGAAAGCUCAUCAAGUGACGGUAACUACCCAGAAAGGGACGGCUAACUACGUG
rnacentral:rRNA from 1 species